UGUCAGGGGAGAUGUGCGUUUAUUAUGUUUAUGUCAAUAAAUAUGUCUGACCCAAGAAGAAUGAGUUUGAAUGCAUAAGCAUGGAAUAUUACAUUUAGAAAUGCUAUUAUUUAAAUGCCGAAAAAAGUAAAGUAUGUUGUUUCGAUGUCCUGGAUUCUUACACCGCUUUUUAUGUUUACAUGAUCAUUGUGAACAAGGAAGUAAACAAGAAUGACCUGAAUGCUAUUACAAUGGAGUCAUAAUUGAAUUGUAUUAAAUCUGCAUAGUUUGUGUUUAGCCUUUCAAUUGAAUAUUAAGAAAAAGGUAAUUCCAAGUUUAGAAAUCGGAUACAUAUUUGGAUGCAUGCUGGCACUUGUUAUACAAAAAUACUGCAAGAAUUAACUCGAAAAAGGCAGAAAUAAAGAACUAUGUGGAAAAAGAUGCAUGCGAUGUUUGGAAGGCAAAGAAGCUAAUUUCCAAAAACGACUUCGUGUAGAAAAUCACAAGAGAUCAGUCAACAUGUAGGACAGCAAACAUAAACAAUAAUGUGUUUCAAACAUUAAGUCAUAAAGUGCCUGUGUUGCAGAACAAACGUAUCUUCCACUAUUAGUCCGUGACUUCUACUCUUCUUUAAAUAUGGCAACUGCUUCGUUUGCAUCAGUUGCAUGUUGCAAAGAAGAAGAAAACUUCACAAGGAUGCAAAUGACCAUAAAAAAGGUUUGCCACAAAGUCCUGAGAGAAUAUUUGGUAAAGAAGGUCUAUAACAUUGCUCCUAGUGUAAGCAUUGACCAUUUUCUAGCAACCAACAGAACAUGUUUAACCAGAGGACGUUAUGGAAGGCUCUAUGAGAAACGCUAUUUUCCAUUGGAUGCCAACAACCAGCCAAUUCCUACAAACCUUCAAGA